rnacentral:rRNA from 1 species
AACGGACGCUGGCGGCAGGCCUAACACAUGCAAGUCGAACGCCGUAGCAAUACGGAGUGGCAGACGGGUGAGUAACACAUGGGUACCUACCUUCGAGUGAGGGAUACCGGCGAGAAAUCGCCGACAAUACCGCAUAGGCUUCCUGGCAACGGGAAGCAAAGCUACGCAAGUGGCGCUGGAAGAUGGGCCUGUGGCCGAUUAGCUCGGUUGGGGG